GAGGAAUGGGUCUUCUUCCAACCUGUGGUCAUACACAUGAACAGCUGCUAAAAGGAAGACUAAUAGGCACUUAGGGACCACCCAGCCCAUACCAGAUAUAUGAAUCCUACAAAAUUAAGGUCCUGGUAGGACAACUUUACUACCCUUGUUCUUUAAAUGCUGAUUAACUUUGCUUUGGCCUUUUUGGUAGAUAUUAAGCCCAAAUCUCUGAAAUGGGGCAAGAAUCUCAACAUACAAAGGCAAUCAUUUGGAUUUCCUGUAAAGUUCCAGAAUGAAUCCCAGUUCAUAUUCCAAGUGUUGGCAUCUGUUAACAUUUCUUUUCCCUUCUAGACUAUUUGGAUUAAAAGCGUAUCAGGGGCUAACUGC
rnacentral:lncRNA from 1 species